rnacentral:rRNA from 1 species
GACGAACGCUGGCGGCGUGCUUAACACAUGCAAGUCGAACGCUGAAGGCCCAGCUUGCUGGGUUGGAUGAGUGGCGAACGGGUGAGUAACACGUGAGUAACCUGCCCCCUUCUUUGGGAUAACGGUCGGAAACGGCUGCUAAUACCGGGUAUUCACUGUCCUUCGCAUGGGGGGUGGUGGAAAGGUUUUUUCUGGUGGGGGAUGGCUCGCGGCCUAUCAGCUUGUUGGUGGGGUGAUGGCUUACCAAGGCUUUGACGGGUUACCGGCCUGAGAGGGUCACCGGCCACAUUGGGACUGAGAUACGGCCCAGACUCCUACGGGAGGCUUCCGUGGGGAAUAUUGUUCAAUGGGCGAAAGCCUGAUGCACCGACCCCGCGUGACGGAUGACUGCCUUCUUCCUGUAAACCUCUUUCUCUCAUGGUCCAGCCCCCAACAGGGGCUGUGGCGAUGGUACUGGUGUAUAGAUUUAUGGUUUCCUUUUGCUCUCAUCCGUCGUCACUUCCUA